rnacentral:rRNA from 1 species
AUUGAACGCUGGCGGCAGGCUUAACACAUGCAAGUCGAGCGGAGCGAGGGUGCUUGCACCUUAGCUUAGCGGCGGACGGGUGAGUAAUGCUUAGGAAUCUGCCUAUUUGUGGGGGACAACAUUCCGAAAGGGAUGCUAAUACCGCAUACGCCCUACGGGGGAAAGCAGGGGAUCUUCGGCCCUUGCGCUAAUAGAUGAGCCUAAGUCGGAUUAGCUAGUUGGUGGGGUAAAGGCCUACCAAGGCGACGAUCUGUAGCGGGUCUGAGAGGAUGAUCCGCCACACUGGGACUGAGACACGGCCCAGACUCCUACGGGAGGCAGCAGUGGGGAAUAUUGGACAAUGGGCGGAAGCCUGAUCCAGCCAUGCCGCGUGUGUGAAGAAGGCCUUUUGGUUGUAAAGCACUUUAAGCGAGGAGGAGGCUACUAGUAUUAAUACUACUGGAUAGUGGACGUUACUCGCAGAAUAAGCACCGGCUAACUCUGUGCCAGCCGCCGCAGUAA